CUCCUCGAAACAAAAGAAACGACAGAUGAAGAGAUUUUCCUUAGAGACGGAUCUUAAGAAAAGAUCAUUGAUUGGGCAGGAAAUCGAGCCCAAUCUGGCAACACUGCCUUCCAACCGAUUCUAAAGUCCUUGGCUGAAGUUUUAGCGUCUGCAAGGUGCCGAGCGAAGAGAGGGAAGGGGAGAGGGAAAAAAAGCCCUCCACUGCAGAGAUGGUCUUGGCGCGGGAGAAGUCAACCCGGACACAGAGGGUUUGAGUCACUGGUGUGCGACGUUUCUUUCUUUGGUUUGUUUCUCAAUCUGCUGGACAACAGCUUGAGUGGGAUGCACUCUGAUCCACUUUCUCCUCCGCGAG
ensembl:lncRNA